UAUUGCACAAUGGGGGAAACCCUGAUGCAGCGACGCCGCGUGGGCGAAGAAGUAUUUCGGUAUGUAAAGCCCUAUCAGCAGGGAAGAAGAAAUGACGGUACCUGAGUAAGAAGCCCCGGCUAACUACGUGCCAGCAGCCGCGGUAAUACGUAGGGGGCAAGCGUUAUCCGGAUUUACUGGGUGUAAGGGGAGCGUAGACGGUUGUAUAAGUCUGGAGUGAAAGCCCGGGGCCCAACCCCGGGACUGCUUUGGAAACUGUGUAACUUGAGUACAGGAGGGGCAGGCGGAAUUCCUGGUGUAGCGGUGAAAUGCGUAGAUAUCAGGAGGAACACCGGUGGCGAAGGCGGCUUACUGGACUGUAACUGACGUUGAGGCUCGAAAGCGUGGGGAGCAAACAGG
rnacentral:rRNA from 1 species